AUAACGCUGGCGGCGUGCCUAACACAUGCAAGUCGAACGCGGUCUGAGGGUUCCCUUGGACUGAGUGGCGGACGGGUGAGUAACACGUGGGUUAUCUACCUUGAGGUGAGGAAUACCGGCGAGAAAUCGCCGACAAAACCGCAUAGCCUGGUCAAGUAUCAGGAAAGUCCCGGCAACGGGACGCCCCAAGAUGAGCCUGCGCCCGAUUAGCUGGUUGGUAAGGUAAAAGCUUACCAAGGCGACCAUCGGUAGCUGGUCUGAGAGGACGAUCAGCCACACUGGGAUUGAGAACGGCCCAGACUCCUACGGGGGGCAGCAGUGAGGAAUUUUCGUCAAUGGGGGCAACCCUGAACGAGCAACGCCGCGUGCAGGAAGAAGGUUUUCGGAUCGUAAACUGCUCUUCUUGGGGAAGAGAAGGGACGGUACCCAAGGAAGAAGCCCCGGCUAACUACGUGCCAGCAGCCGCGGUAAUACGUAGGGGGCAAGCGUUGUCCGGAUUUACUGGGCGUAAAGGGCACGCAGGCGGUCUGCCGCGUUUGGAGUGACAGGUGGGGGCUUAACUCCCACAGGCCUCACAAAGACGGGUAGACUUGAGGACCAGAGAGGGAUGCGGAAUUCCAGGUGGAGCGGUGAAAUGCGUAGAGAUCUGGAAGAACACCAAUGGCGAAGGCAGCAUCCUGGAUGGUAUCUGACGCUCAUGUGCGAAAGCCAGGGGAUCGAACGGGAUUAGAUACCCCGGUAGUCCUGGCUGUAAACGAUGACCACUAGACGUAGGAGGUAUCGACCCCUUCUGUGUCGCAGCUAACGCAUGAAGUGGUCCGCCUGGGGAGUACGGUCGCAAGAUUAAAACUCAAAGGAAUUGACGGGGACCCGCACAAGCAGCGGAGCGUGUGGUUUAAUUCGAUGCAACGCGAAGAACCUUACCAAGACUUGACAUGGACCUGAACAAGCCGUAAUGGGUUUUCUCCUUCGGGAGCAGGUUCACAGGUGCUGCAUGGCUGUCGUCAGCUCGUGUCGUGAGAUGUUGGGUUAAGUCCCGCAACGAGCGCAACCCCUAUCGUUAGUUGAAUGAUCUAGCGAGACUGCCACGCUAAACGUGGAGGAAGGUGGGGAUGACGUCAAGUCAGCACGGCCCUUACGUCUUGGGCGACACACACGCUACAAUGGUCAGUACAAAGGGGAGCCAACCCGCGAGGGGGAGCCAAUCCCAUCAAAGCUGAUCUCAGUUCAGAUUGCAGGCUGCAACCCGCAUGCAUGAAGUCGGACUUCGCUAGUAACCGUGGGUCAGAACACCACGUGAUUAAUGCNCGGGUGUUGUACAC
rnacentral:rRNA from 1 species